AUACGUCAUACAUACAUUAUGCAAUGAGACUCCAUGCAUGCGGUACCGACUAUUCGUGAACACAUAGUUCAACCUCACCGAUCAAAUCCAGAUACGGCUACCAAGCUCACUAGUCCCACUCAUUUGAGACCUAGUGACUCACUCACUAAUUCCUCACCAUGGGAAUUAGCUACCACCCCAAGGGCUAUGCUAUGCACGCUAAAUCACCUAGCAUGCAAACAUCAAC
rnacentral:lncRNA from 1 species